GAUCAUGGCUCUGAUUGAACGCUGGCGGCAUGCUUUACACAUGCAAGUCGAACGGCAGCAUAGAGAGCUUGCUCUCUGAUGGCGAGUGGCGAACGGGUGAGUAAUACAUCGGAACGUGUCCGUUUGUGGGGGACAACCAUCCGAAAGGAUGGCUAAUACCGCAUAAGACCUGAGGGUGAAAGCCGGGGACCGCAAGGCCUGGCGCGAACGGAGCGGCCGAUG
rnacentral:rRNA from 1 species